rnacentral:rRNA from 1 species
GAUGAACGCUGGCGGCGUGCCUAAUACAUGCAAGUCGAGCGAACAGACGAGGAGCUUGCUCCUCUGACGUUAGCGGCGGACGGGUGAGUAACACGUGGAUAACCCACCUAUAAGACUGGGAUAACUUCGGGAAACCGGAGCUAAUACCGGAUAAUAUAUUGAACCGCAUGGUUCAAUAGUGAAAGACGGCUUUGCUGUCACUUAUAGAUGGAUCCGCGCCGCAUUAGCUAGUUGGUAGGGUAACGGCUUACCAAGGCAACGAUGCGUAGCCGACCUGAGAGGGUGGUCGGCCACACUGGAACUGAGACACGGUCCAGGCUCCUACGGGAGGCAGCAGUAGGGAAUCUUCCGCAAUAGGCGAAAGCCUGACGGAACAACGCCGCGUGAGUGGUGAAGGUCUUCGGAUCGUAAAACUCUGUUAUUGGGGAAGAACAAAUGUGUAAGUAACUGUACACGUCUUGACGGUACCUAGUCAGGAAGCCCCGGCUAACUACGUG